rnacentral:lncRNA from 1 species
GUGGUAAGAUAUAUUGUGAUCUGCAUCACAAUAUCAUCGAAAUUUUUUUCGAUGGAUCGGAACAAUUUCAUCUCUACCUCUCGAGGGUCAUCGAUCAUCAAGAUGAUGCUCGAUGAGUCCCACAAUCCAUCAGUGAUACCUAGCAGUAUGUAGUGGCAACCUAGUAGAAUGAAAAUAUGAAUCUCUAGGUAUAGUUAUC